CAGUACAGAUUAUUGUAAAAACAUAAAAAACGAGUCGUCGUUUACACCUCUCUUUCUCGUGAUCAAAGUUAAAAUUUCACAAUCCUCCAGCCCCUUCUUGAAUACCAAAAAAAGAAAUGGCUUCUUCUCCUCCAAGCGAAGAAUCACAAAACCAGAAUCAAGAUCGACAACAAGUAGCAGCAGUGAAAGAGCAAGAGAAGGAGUGCCUUCACAAAACCAAAACGAUAGAGUUCUUAGGCCGUACCACUCCUAUCGUUCUCCAAAAUGACAAUGGACCUUGUCCUCUGCUAGCCAUCUGUAAUGUUCUUCUGCUAAAGAACAAUCUAAAUUUGAGCCCAGAUAGCGCUGAAGUUUCACAGGAGAAAUUGCUAUCCCUUGUUGCAGAACGAUUGAUUGAUUCCAACAGUAAUAUUGUUUUUCUCAUCAUGCAGAACAAAGAUGCAGGAUAUGUCGAAAAUCAACAGCAGAAUAUUGCAGAUGCUAUUGAUUUGCUUCCACGACUUGCAACUGGAAUUGAUGUAAAUCUAAAGUUUAGGAGGAUAGAUGAUUUUGAGUUUACCCGAGAAUGUGCCAUAUUUGAUUUGCUUGACAUUCCUUUAUACCAUGGUUGGAUAGUUGAUCCCUUGGACUAUGAUACUGCUAAUGCCAUCGGGUCAAAGUCCUAUAAUACUCUUAUGGGGGAGCUUGUUGCUCUGGAAACAAGAAACAUGGAAGAUGAAAGUAAAAAUGUUACCAGGGAAGAUUUUAAAAGUAAGACCGAGGAAGACUGCGUUGACUUUGUUGCUGCUACAACUGCAACUUUGGGCGUUCCUUCUCCCUGUCUUUCAAAAGCUAGGUCUUUUGAUGAUUCUCCACGUUCAGCCUCUGAUCAUCAAAAUGUAAGAAAAGGGGAUUUAGAAGAAGCAGCAGCACUAUUGAGGGUCUUAAAAUUUUCGGAGGCUGAGUUGCCAUGUUCAGCAGGCGAUUCUCUUGUAUCUGAUGUUAAUGGAAGGGUUUUGUUUGUUGGUUCAGAUGAAAGUACAUCUAUGAAGGGGGCUGCGACUGUGACUUCCUUGGAUACAUCAGAGGGACCUGUUGGUAUUGAUGGCAGUUUUAAUGCAUUGAGCAAUGAUGAUAAUAAUAAUCUGACAUCCUUGGAAACUACUCUUCCAGGGGAAGUGAUGUGCUCUUCCUUAAAGACUGAUCUGAAUGUUCAUUUUGAUCAUUCAACCUGUACAGAAUCUGGAGAACAUAUCUCUUGUGAUGAUACCAUUAAGAAUCGUAGUGUUGACACAGGUGUUGAGAUUCAAGACGCAGUGUCCCUUUCUUGUGGAAAGAGUACUGCAUCUUUGAAUGGAGACCGUGUGGAUAUUUUACAUUACAGUCAGAAGGUUGAGAAUCAGUGCACUUCUAUUACCGAGGUUCAUGAACCAGCAGAUAUUUCAAAUGGGCGUGACAAGGAGGAUGUACCAGGGUCAGCUUCACCAGUUCUAGAGUCAAAUUCAUCUAUUGGCAGAAUGCAGAACAUAGACGCACCUGAUACCUUUACUUCAAGUGUUGAUGGCAGUGAGCCAAUAUACGAGGGAGAAGAAUGCAUUUUGGAUACAGGAACUUCAAAUUAUGAAGAGCGAGAGCCUAUGUAUGAAGGUGAAGUGGUUCUUGCAGAACAAGCUGAUAGAACUGUGAGGUCUAAGGAUGAAAUCACUCCACAGCAAGGGGAGCUGAUAGGGAACUUUUUGAAGAACAAUGCUAGUCAGUUGACCUUUUAUGGUCUCUUUUGCUUACAGGAUGGGCUUAAAGAGCGAGAGUUGUGUGUUUUUUUCCGUAACAAUCACUUUAGCACCAUGUUUAAGUAUGAUGGUGAGCUGUAUCUUUUAGCUACAGACCAAGGUUACAUUAAUCAGCCUGAUUUGGUGUGGGAGAAACUAAAUGAGGUAAAUGGAGAUACAUUGUUUAUGACAGGCAACUUCAAGGAAUUCAGGGUGGAAAGUCAUUCAAAUGACCCAUGGGAUGAGCACAAUGCCGUGACCAGUACUGCUGAUUAUCUUGCCAGCAUCGAUAGUGCUGCACAAGCGGGUUUGGAUAUAAACUCUGAUCUGCAACUGGCAAUAGCUCUGCAGCAACAGGAGUUUGAGCAGCAGCAGCAGCAGCAGCCGCCGCCGCCGCCGCCACAACGCCAUAACAUGCAGCAACCCUCCAGUACUGGUGGUUCGAGGCUAAUCACAGGCCCCCAGGUGCCAAGGAGCAGUGGGAAAACCACAUCUUCUUCAUCUUCCAGGUUUGAUGCAAAGUCAAAAGACAAGUGUAGUCUGAUGUGAAUUUUGCUGGAGGUGUUGUGGAAGUUUGUUCAUUAAAUGGCUUGUAUUUCGACCCCAUGUUAUCCUUCGUAACAAUAAACUGCAUUAGUAAGUUGACAGAUUGAAAGGGGUCCCUUGUUUCAACAUCUGGAAAAAUGAGCAACAAUGGUUCUAGUUUAUUCAAGUGAAAUGUCUUUGGAGGUGGCACUGGUAGGUCCAUAUGGAGGACCCAUUUACAUUUAGAGCUAUGUGGUCUCGCCCAUGCAACUUCACCUGGCUGAAUUAUAUCUCGUCAAAGCUAAAUGCACGCUUGAAAAGUUAUAGGCAUGCUAUUUUCGAACUACUGGCUGAUGUUGAUGUGGCGUAACAAAUUGACAACAGCAUUUAGGAAUAAAUUUUGGAUUUAUGUUAGGGUUA